rnacentral:rRNA from 1 species
GAUGAACGCUGGCGGCGUGCCUAAUACAUGCAAGUCGAGCGAACAGACGAGGAGCUUGCUCCUCUGACGUUAGCGGCGGACGGGUGAGUAACACGUGGAUAACCUACCUAUAAGACUGGGAUAACUUCGGGAAACCGGAGCUAAUACCGGAUAAUAUAUUGAACCGCAUGGUUCAAUAGUGAAAGACGGUUUUGCUGUCACUUAUAGAUGGAUCCGCGCCGCAUUAGCUAGUUGGUAAGGUAACGGCUUACCAAGGCAACGAUGCGUAGCCGACCUGAGAGGGUGAUCGGCCACACUGGAACUGGGACACGGUCCAGACUCCUACGGGAGGCAGCAGUAGGGAAUCUUCCGCAAUGGGCGAAAGCCUGACGGAGCAACGCCGCGUGAGUGAUGAAGGGCUUCGGAUCGUAAAACUCUGUUAUUAGGGAAGAACAAAUGUGUAAGUAACUAUGCACGUCUGGACGGUACCUAAUCAGAAAGCCACGGCUAACUACGU